ensembl:lncRNA
AUGCCUACUGCAGUGCCUGGCAUGUAGCAAGGUUCGUUAAAUGUCAUUGCCGUUCCAGCCCUUCCCCGUGACGUGCUGGAGCCAGCUCAUACCAGCUCAGUAGCUCACGAGAGCUAAUCAUAUUUUCAAGAAUUUUGUGAGCCAAUUGACCUAACAUUGGCACCUUGAAGUUGACCUUUAUGGGAUUAUUUACAGCAUGGAAACUGGAAAUGCUGCAAAUCAGGACUUCCCUGCCCAGGCAGUUGUUAAACGUAAACUACUGCCUCCACUCCAUUCUUCCCUUCUCAAGAUGUGAGCAGAACCAUGGAGGAUCGUGUGUCAGGAUUAGAUUCAGCAGUGAGUUACCCCCCACCCCCCAAAAAAUAGAACAGCUGUUUACUAGUAAAAAUUCUUUCUUUCUUCCUUCUUUCCUUCUUUCCUUCUAUCCUUGUUUCUUUCUUUCUCUUUCUCUCUCUCUCUCUUUCUUUCUUUCUUUCUUUCUUUCUUUCUUUUUUGAGGAAGACUGGCCCUGAGCUAACAUCCGUGCCCAUCUUCCUCCACUUUUUUACAUGUGGGACGCCUGCCACAGCGUGGCUUGACAAGCGGUAUGUAGGUCUGCACUGGCGAACCCCAGGCCGCUGAAGUGGAACGUGUGAACUUAACCACUGCACCACCAGGCUGGCCCGAAGUUUGUUUUUUAGAUCAAGGUGGAGAGUUCAGGGCUUGGCUAGUAGCUCUACUUUGUUGCCUCACCAUCCUCAAAACAUGGCUUUUACUUCAUGAUCUAAGAUGGCUGCUCAAGCUUCACGUUCCAGCCAGCGGGAAAGACAAGGACAAAGAAACACACACUCCUCCUAUUAAGGCCAUUGACAGAAGUAACACACAUUUCUACUUAUAUGAAGUAGGUUGAAGUGAAGUCACUUAGCCAUAUCUAGAUGCAAAGGUGGCUUGGACAUGUGUUAUUUACCCCAGGCAGCUGUGUGCCCAGCUGGAAACUGAGAAGAAGGAGCAAGUGGAUAUCGGGAGACAGCUGUCAGUCCCUCCCACUAAUGCGCAGGAGUUAGGAAAGUGGAGAGAGGGGAAAGUGGUGCUGGUGUGAUGGCAUGAAUGUGGUUUGUGAAACUCUGAAGGAGUUGGCUGGAAUAUAAAAUUAAAAUACUGAAAAGCAAGGUUAAAUAAACAAGGUGGAAGCCAGAUUGCAGUGAGGGUCCAGGAAAGCACACAAAAGAAUCUUUCUCUAGUACCGUUAGAAACAGAAGACAUUGCCCUUUUGAGUAGGUGAGCUGGGUCCAGCCCAGAGGCCAAGUGGUUCAAGUUCCAUGUGCUCCCCUUCAGCGGCCUGGGUUCGCAGGUUCGGAUCCUGGGCACGGAUCCACUUACCAGCCACUCUGAGGAGGUGUCCCACAUACAAAAAACUAGAGGAAGACUGGCACAGGUGUUAGCUCAGGGCAAAUCUUCCUUAGCUUAAAAAAAAAAAAUGAGUAAGUGAGCUCUAUAAUCAGAGGCAUUUAAGAAAUUUAAAUGUGGCACUUACGUGCUUGACACGUUGGAGGGAGGAAAAACAGGAAGCAGCAGGGAGGUCAGAAAGAAUUUCACAAUACAGGUGUGAGGUGAUUACGUGGGGGCAAUGGGAAUGAGGAGGAAGAAAUAAAUCUGAGAGGCGUUUGCUAGAAAAUGUGUUUGCUUUGAUGGUUGGCCUGAUAGGGAGUUUCAGGCUGGGGUGGUGGAGAGACAGGAGUCACAGAGACAGGGAGCAAGCCUGUCUGGUAGGUAUUUUAGAUUGGGUCACCUAGAAGCACAGUCUGGCACAGGACUUUUGUGAUCUUUGUCCAAGGGAUUGAUUCGGGGAGAAGGGAUUGAUUCGGGGAGGAGAAGGAGAGUGAGGGAAACAGGAUGGCAAAGGGGAAGAAGCUAAGCAAGGGUGUGAGCUGAACAGCUGUGCAAGCCUGCAGGGAGGCUGUCCACACAAAUUGCACCAGAGUUGGUUCUACCUUGAGGCAAGAGCACUGGUGUCUUGUAGCCCUUCAUCAGGCAGUCACUGGCCAAGGUCUAUCCAAAGUGUGUAUAGGGAGGGAUGGCUUGGCUCCCAUUUGGUCCAGGGCAAUUCUCUAGAAAAGAGGACAGCUGUGUGUGGUUAUUGGACAACAUGCCUGGCAACUGGGAGUUGAGUUGGCCAGCUGGUAAAGAGGAGCUGGAUGAGGCCCAGGCAGCAUCUAUUAUAGUGCGUCCAUUUUGAGUGUGUUGGAUUUGAAGUGGCGAGGAAAUAAGGUAUUGACACAUGACUAGUGGGAAAGUGGAGAUACAAGAUAGGAGUUCAUGUGGAAGAAGAGCUGAGCUAUGUAGACAUUAGAGUGGGAGACUCUGGCCACACAGGUGACAGCUUCAACAAGAAGCUCUUUGAGGGCCGUGGAUGGAAAGAGGGGAGCAAGCCUUUGGAGAGUAAGUUGGAUACCCCUUAGUGGCAAGGUGGGUGGAAGAGGAGCAACUAAUGAAUAAAGCAAUGCAGAGACCAGUAGAGAAGCGUGUUUGUGUGGUAAUUGACCUUACAUUUUGACUGGAAGUCAAGGGAAGAAAAAGUUGAAGGGGAAUAAGUAUGGAGAAAAGGUUGAAGUUUAUUUUUCAUCAGUUGGGAGGUGGUUGAUGGCCUUUCAGGGAGCAAUGUCACGAUAGGACAGGGUUAGAAACCACAUGGCGAGGGUCAGUAAUGCUUUCCACAUUUAAUGCCAUUCCGUUCUGACUAAUUCUCAAGUCCUUUCGGGCACUUCUGCUUCAAUUUAUAUGCUGCUCAUUCUUGCUUGUCCUGAAGUUACUCUAUAUUCUGGUUAUCUAAUGUUGCCUAAGAAAUUACCCCAAGACUUAGGGGAAUGAGACCCCCUUUGUUAUGUUCCUGGGUUCUGUGGGUCAGGAAUUUGGACAGAGCAAAGUGGGGAUGGCUUGUCUCUGCUCCACGAUGUCUGGGGUCACACCUGGAAGGCUUGAAAGCUGGGAACUGGAAUUGUUUGCAUGAUCCUUCACUCCCAUGUCUGGCAGUGGAUGCUGGCUAUUGGCUGGGGGCCUCAGUUCCUCUCCUUGGGGUCUAGAUUGGACCCUCUUGCAUGAUGGCUGGGUAACUGAGAGAGAACCAGGCAUGAACUAUAUUCUUUUUAUGACCUCACCUUUUGAUGAUCUACACUGCUUUCCUCAUAACCCAUUGGUCACAGCAGUCACAGCCCCACUCAGAUUCAAGGGGAGGGAACAUAACUCCACCCUGGAGUCUGUCACGUGACAAGAAGAGCAUGGGGUGGGGUAGGGGGCUGCUAUCUUUGGAAAUACAAUCUUCCAUAAUCUGACAAAGCUCUCCAUUUGCUUCUUUCAAGGGCUAGGACACGGACCCUCAUGCCACAUGCAGCUUCAGGCUGGGUAGAAGGCCAGGAUGAAGUUGUUUCUCCUCUCUCUGUGCUGGCAAUGAGCAGGCAGCACCCAUGUCAGAAGCGUGAGAGUCCACCACAACAUCACAGGACACGUCUUGGACCUCUUUGAGAACCAUCUGCUCUUUUGAGAACUGAGACCCAAAGACCACCAAUCACAAAGUAGAGCAUACAACCCCCUUCAGGAGCCAGAGACCGGAACUCAAUUCCUGUUUUAUUGGUGAGCUUCUUCCUUUUGGACCCGUAUCUAGGCCUUUCAAUUCCUGCUUAGGGAGACCCACUGAACUCACUUCUUGAGGGACAUGGCUCUCCCUCGCCUGUUAAGCAAUAAACCCAGCUUCCCCACCGCUGUCAGCUUUGAUGUCUCUGUUUUUUUGGUUUGUUACUUUCAAGUCUCAGUUUAAAGGUCAGUGUCCAAGGGAGGCCUCCCCUGAUACCCUACCCUGUGUUUAGUUCUCGGGCUCUACAUUCCUACGGCAGCAGCCUGCACUCCCCCUUUUGUAAGAGUCAUCACUUCAUUCCCGUAUGUUUUAUGUCUGACCUUCUGAGCUCCGUAGGGCAGGACUCGUCUCUGUCUUGUGGAUUGUGGUAUCCCCAGGCAAGUACAGUGUCUGGUACCUAGGAAGCCAUCAGUAAGUAUUAACUUUUAUUAGUAGAUGCUCCAUAAAUAACCACUGGUCUGAGUUGUCCUCAGGUGGUUUCUCAGAUAGUAUACGCACUUUGUGUCUAAAUUGGUUGAAAUUUCUUUAAGACGAGGAUCCUCUGUGUUCCUUUCUUUAAAUCUCUCACACUAUGCCCAUUGUGGGCUUCUUCAUCCAAGCAACACUUCAUAAAUGAUUAUUAAUUGGUCUCCCCACAACCACUUUCCAAACGGGCAUCAUAUUUGAAGAAAUGAUCAAAUUUAAAAGAAUAUGUUGUGUAGCAGGACAAUUUAUUAUGACUUUAU